rnacentral:rRNA from 1 species
AGUUGGAUCCUGCUCAAGAUGAACGCCGGCGGCGUGCCUAAUACAUUCAAGUCGAGCGCGAGCGAUUGGAGCUUGCUCCAAUCAAUCGAGCGGCGGACGGGUGAGUAACACGUGGGCAACCUGCCCAUCAGACCGGGAUAAACACGGGAAACCGUGGCUAAUACCGGAUAAUCCUUUGCCACGCAGGUGGUGAAGUUGAAAGGCGGCUUCGGCUGUCACUGAUGGAUGGGCCUGCGGCGCAUUAGCUGGUUGGUGGGGUAACGGCCCACCAAGGCGACGAUGCGUAGCCGACCUGAGAGGGUGAUCGGCCACACUGGGACUGAGACACGGCCCAGACUCCUACGGGAGGCAGCAGUAGGGAAUCUUCCGCAAUGGACGCAAGUCUGACGGAGCAACGCCGCGUGAGUGAUGAAGGGUUUCGGCUUGAAAAACUCUGUUGUUAAGGAAGAACGUCCCGUGAGUACGCCGGGAGUACGAC